rnacentral:misc_RNA from 1 species
GAUGAAGAACGCAGCGAAAUGCGAUAAGUAAUGUGAAUUGCAGAAUUCAGUGAAUCAUCGAAUCUUUGAACGCACCUUGCGCCCUUUGGCCAUUCCGAAGGGCAUGCCUGUUUGAGUAUCAUGAACACCUCAACUCUUCAUGGUUUUCCAUGAUGAGCUUGGACUUUGGGGGUCUUGCUGGCCUGUGGGUCGGCUCCUCUCAAAUGAAUCAGCUUGCCGGUUUUUGGUGGGCAUCACAGGUGUGAUAACUAUCUACGCUUGUGGUUUUCCACCAGGGUAACCUUCAGCAGUGGAGGUUCACUCGAGCUUACAAAUGUCUCUCCUCUGUGAGGACAGCCCUUUGAAUGUUUGAUCUCAAAUCAGGUAGGACUACCCGCUGAACUUAAGCAUAUCAAUAAGCGGAGGA